UUUCCGUAGGUGAACCUGCGGAAGGAUCAUUAUUGUAUAACCGAGAUGCGAGGGCUGUCGCUGUCCCGAAAGGUCGUGCACGCCCGAGUGCCCUCACACACAUCCAUCUCACCCCUAUGUGCACCACCGCGUGGGUCCCCCUUUGGCUUGUUCGGAGGGGGGCUUACGUUUUCACACAAACUUUGUAUGCAGUGUAGAAUGUAUUUUUUGUUUUUGCGAUCACGCAAUCAAUACAACUUUCAACAACGGAUCUCUUGGCUCUC
rnacentral:misc_RNA from 1 species